rnacentral:rRNA from 1 species
UGUUUGAUGUUCUAACGUGGACCCGUGAUCCGGGUUGCGGACAGUGUCUGGUGGGUAGUUUGACUGGGGCGGUCUCCUCCUAAAGAGUAACGGAGGAGCACGAAGGUUGGCUAAUCCUGGUCGGACAUCAGGAGGUUAGUGCAAUGGCAUAAGCCAGCUUGACUGCGAGCGUGACGGCGCGAGCAGGUGCGAAAGCAGGUCAUAGUGAUCCGGUGGUUCUGAAUGGAAGGGCCAUCGCUCAACGGAUAAAAGGUACUCCGGGGAUAACAGGCUGAUACCGCCCAAGAGUUCAUAUCGACGGCGGUGUUUGGCACCUCGAUGUCGGCUCAUCACAUCCUGGGGCUGAAGUAGGUCCCAAGGGUAUGGCUGUUCGCCAUUUAAAGUGGUACGCGAGCUGGGUUUAGAACGUCGUGAGACAGUUCGGUCCCUAUCUGCCGUGGGCGCUGGAGAACUGAGGGGGGCUGCUCCUAGUACGAGAGGACCGGAGUGGACGCAUCACUGGUGUUCGGGUUGUCAUGCCAAUGGCACUGCCCGGUAGCUAAAUGCGGAAGAGAUAAGUGCUGAAAGCAUCUAAGCACGAAACUUGCCCCGAGAUGAGUUCUCCCUGAGACUUAGAGUCUCCUGAAGGAACGUUGAAGACGACGACGUUGAU